rnacentral:tRNA from 4 species
GGUCGAUUAACUCAGUGGCUAGAGUGCCAUCUUCACACGGUGGAAGUCACAGGUUCGAAUCCUGUAUCGACCA